rnacentral:rRNA from 1 species
AUUAGUUUUUUAAUUGAAGGCUGGAAUGAAUGGUUGGACAAGAAAUGAGCUGUCUUAAUAGAAGGUAUUGAAUUUAACUUUUAAGUGAGAAGGCUUAAAUGCUCUGAAGGGACGAUAAGACCCUAUAAAACUUUAUAUUUAAAGGUGGAAGUUAUUUUUAUUUAUAGGUUACUAUCUAAAAAUAUUUGGUUGGGGCGACAAGGAUAGAACAAUUAGUAACUGUCUUUUUUUUAAACAGUAAUGUUUGGUUGAAUGAUCCUAAAAAGGGAUUAAAAGAUUAAGUUACUUUAGGGAUAACAGCGUAAUUUUCUUUGAGAGUUCUUAUCGACAGGAAGGUUUGCGACCUCGAUGUUGAAUUAAAGGUUCUUUAUAGAGUAGAGACUAUAAUAGAAGGUCUGUUCGACCUUUAAAAUUUUACAUGAUUUGAGUUCAGACCGGUGUGAG